rnacentral:rRNA from 1 species
UACGGGGGGGGCAAGCGUUGUUCGGAAUUACUGGGCGUAAAGGGCUCGUAGGCGGCCAACUAAGUCGGACGUGAAAUCCCUCGGCUUAACCGGGGAACUGCGUCCGAUACUGGAUGGCUUGAGUUUGGGAGAGGGAUGCGGAAUUCCAGGUGUAGCGGUGAAAUGCGUAGAUAUCUGGAGGAACACCGGUGGCGAAGGCGGGUCUCUGGGCAGUAACUGACGCUGAGGAGCGAAAGCGUGGGGAGCGAACAGG